UACAGCGUGUCUCUUUAAAAGCCGAUUCCUUUAGCGCAGGUCUGUUCUGUCCUCUGGGACUACUAGUUGCUAGGCUAAUUGUAUUGUACUACAGUGCUAGUAGCAAGUUAGGGAUGGCCUUGGAGGUUGAGUGUGUGGUGUGCACGACUUACUCGAGAUGAGGAGAGGAAGCACAGAGUCACAGACGGAGCGAAUGUUUUAUUUAUUCGAUUUUCGACAUGCAACAUUUUGUAAGUAGUUUAACUCUACAAUUGGACUCGGUGCAAAUGCUGAAAAUGUAUCGAUGGUAACCAGUAGCUAGCUCGCUGGAGGCAGGGAAAGAAAGCUCCCGGUGGUGCUCUGCUCCUAGCUAAACGAAUAAUAAAGGACUUCGAAAGGAAAUGGUCAAGAUGGCAGCUGCAUUCGGAAUGUGAAGGUGCUAGUUUUACAUUUUGAUGUAACCCGCAUUUUGGAAAUGGUAAAGAAACACGGGCAAACGGAACGCUGUUGAUUGAGUAGCUAACGUUAUCUAUUCAUUGAGGACGCUCUACACGCCAUUCCCAAGAUAAGGGAUUCAAUAUAAUUCCACCACCUAACGUAUGUAUUAACACAUUUUAUAGAUUUUAUUUUUAUUUUUACAAAGUACAAACAGACGCUGCAGUACUAGCUCAAUGCCCAUUAAAAAAAGGGGCUUUUAAGUCGCGCCAUCAAUUUUGCUGCGAUCAGCAGAGAGAAGACAGUCGACUGGACGCACGUGGGGUUCUAUCAGCUGGAGGUGUGGAAUGUGGGUACUAGUUAUUGUACUCAUUGUUUUAAUAUGAGUCUGGUAAUGUCAUGCUGAUAUUAUGCAUGAUAACCAAACAAAUACUAUUUUAUUAAUGGAAUGCAAUUUUGUUAAUCAGUGUAUACCGAAUACAAGCGACAAACCAAGGAGAGGAAUAUGGCUGAAGUACCGCACAAUGAUAUUGACAUCGAUCCGGACUUCGAGCCCCAGAAACGACCGAGGUCUUGUACCUGGCCUCUGCCUCGACCGGAGUCCAACACAGGGAAGCCCGAAUCGAACGAUGACAUCAUCCCGGAGGACGAGGAGGAUUAUGUCACAGCGCCCAGCAUCUCUAGCUCCACUCCUGUCAACAAUUUGAAUGGUGGCAUAACGAUACCUCAGAACACAAAUAACUUAUCUGAACACCAAACCCUCCCCGUCACCACUAAGAAAGAAGUACUAACCCCAACUUCAAAAGAGGAGGCUGGGUCUUCACAGACGCAUGCUAUCACAGCUCUCAAUGGCCUGGCCUCCCAACCUAGGAAGUCCUCAACUCGGAGGAAUGCCUGGGGGAACUACUCCUAUGCGGACCUCAUCACCCAGGCCAUAGAGAGCUCCCCGGACCAGAGGCUGACGUUAGCCCAGAUCUAUGAUUGGAUGGUGAGAUCUGUCACUUACUUCAAGGACAAAGGGGACAGCAACAGCUCUGCAGGCUGGAAGAACUCCAUCCGACACAACCUCUCUCUCCACAGUCGUUUCAUGCGGGUGCAUAAUGAAGGAACAGGGAAGAGUUCCUGGUGGAUGGUUAACCCAGAGGUUGGGAAAAGUGGCAAAGCUCCACGACGACGGGCCGUAUCCAUGGACAACGGCAACAAGCUGAUCAAAGGUGCUCGAGGCCGAGCCGCGAAGAAGGCAUCUCUAGUCCUACAGACCUUCCAAGAUGGCAGCUCCGAGAGUUUAUCUCUGUCCUCUAGCCUGUCCAAGUGGACAGGAAGUCCCACGUCUCGCAGCAGCGACGAACUGGACACCUGGACAGACUUCAGGUCACGUACCAACUCCAACGCCAGCACGGUCAGUGGCCGCCUCUCCCCUAUCCUGGCCAACCCGGAACUGGAUGAGGCUCUGGAUGACGACUCGAUCGCGCCCCUCUACUCCAGUCCCAGCAGAUUGUCCCCCUCCACCGCCACCCUCGGUCUGGGCGACAUGGCCCUUACUAUGAACCUCAACGACGGGCUCCCUGACCACCUGAUGGGUGACUUUCUUGACAACAUCAGCCUUACGGCGUCCCAGCAGCCCCAGGGGCAGGAAGUGGAGAGCAGAACCAAUCAGACGGGGAGCUCAGUGUUUACCUACACGUGUCCAGGAAGCAGCAGUAGUCUGGUCGUCCCGUCCUCCGGCAGCUUCGGCCCUCCCGGCACCAUCUUCCUGCUCAGCUCCCCACCCUCAGUGGCCUCCCUACGUCAGUCCCCCAUGCAGACCAUCCAGGAGAACCACCAAGCUUCCUUCUCCUGCCUGUCCUCUCGUUUCAACAACCACCACACUCUGCAAGACCAAAUGAACCUGGAGACCCAUGGCAGCCAUGUCAGCGACGUCAUGCUCACACACUCUGACCCGAUGAUGUCACAAGCCAGCGCCUCUGUCACUUUGUCCCAGAAUUCCCAGCGGAAUGCUAUGCUUCUCCGCAAGGACCCUAUGUCAUCAUCAAUCCGGGACUGUGCUGCAGGUCCAAAUUCACAGACUCCCCCAGUGCCCGGUUGGUGGGCUCAGGCUGGCUUGUCAACACCUGCCAAUGAAGACUUGUGCUCAAGCAAUGAAUUGGCCCAGCAGGCCAACCAGAUUCUCCAGCACCUCCCAUCUCCCAGUAGAAAUUAUUGUAUGCAGCUUGGUGGCUCUGGUACAAACGGCAGAUCUGGAAGCCUUUUGCAGUUGAAUGCUCAGGACCACUUCCCAUCAGACCCUGAUCUGGAGGUGUUCAACGGCAGGCUGGACUGUGACAUACGUAAUGAGCUGAUGGACGCUGACUGCCUUGGCUUAUGUUUUGACCACUCUCCCCUGCGCUCUGGUACUCCGACCACUAAUAACUUAAGUACAGCAGGGGGAUUCUCCAGCUCCAAACAAACCUCUUCUUCCCCAAGCUGGGUUCCAAGCUAGCUGAGGUACUGUCCUACCCAGUGCCCGGUUUCAGAACAGUGUCAGGGUUGGGGACAGUUUGAAUUUCAGUCAAGGUAAUUCAAUGGAAUUUGUGUACUUGCUGAAUUGACAUUGAAUUGAACCCAACCCUGAUCAGUAUAGAGAGUGAUCAUUACAGGCAUUACAUAUCUAGAACUGCAAGUGUCUGGAAGACAAGAUGGUGAUGAGCUUCUUUGUAUCCUUAACCAUGUUCCAAAAACAAGGAGGCUUGAGUCUGAUUUCAGGGCAUGUAUUCACAAACCGUCUGCUAGUAGAAGGGAUGAUUUAGGACCAGGUCCUCACUCUUAUUCAUAGUGAUCUGAAAGGCAAAAACUGAUCUUAGAUUAGCACUCGUGCUUUGUGAAUACAGGCCCUGGACUGUAGAGCUGUGUCUAGUCUGUUGGAAGUUGGGACAGUGACAAUUAGUUUUUCUUUUUUUUAAAUAAAAUAAAACAAACCUUUUUAACACCAGUGUUAUCAGUGGGAUUUUAGAUAUGUAAAUGUGAAAGACACUGCUUUUAAGUCUCAGGGAUUUGUCCUUAUGUGGUGGAUUGUCAACACUUUUUACCCUGCUUUCCCAUGUCAUAUUUCUUAACCAUACAUGAACCAACACAAUAUUUGUCAGUCCAGUGGUUGACUGCCUGUUUACAUCUAACAAGCUCCAGCGAAUGUGACCUUGUAGAUACUCCAUUCAGCUUUUUGUGCUUUUACUGCUGUGUUCUCAGCAGAAAAGAGGACAAACUAAA